GAUAAAAUACCUUCCCUUAGCCUACUAUUUUUUCCCAGUGGAUGAAAGGUGAGUGAAAAAGUAAAUUGUAAACUAGUAAGGUCAGAUACAAACUUGCCAAAUAUUUUAUUACUGAAUGGUUGUCUGUAAUGUACAGUUUUGGAGAGAUGAUUAAUGCCGGGCUACUCAAAAUAAAACAACUCAUCAUUGUUUCUUUCAAACUGGAAAUCCAAAUUAAUUAUGUUCAUGAAAUUUUUACAGAAAUCAAUGCAGAACAUUGUUUAAAUCUGAACACCAUAUUCAUGUUUAUAACAUAAGUUCCAGCUAUGAACUGUUUCCUUUAUUAAUUACACUUGCGAGAAACUGUAUACAUAAAGUACAACAUUGAGGUACUUGGCCUAUUGCUUUUUAAACUGUUGAGGUUAUUUCCUUAAUAUUCCCUUUAGCCUUUACAAUUGAAUCUUGUUUUCCUUAUAUAGUACACCUCAUGCCCUUUGGCAUAAUUGCCAAAGCCAUUUUCCAUGGUUGAAUUAAUGGCCUCUUGAAACUAUCACUCUAUCUCAAGAAGACAUUUCCCCCUUGUUUAUGAUAUUGAACACCACCAACAAAUUGCUUUUAAGCAACUGAUUUCAUAUAUGUGUGUGUGUAUAUAUAUAUAAUUAUAUAAUACGCAUAAUUGGUAUUCAUAUUUUACAUAUGAAAAAUAUGAAAACAGUCAUGCUUUUAAGCAACUGAUGAUUAUAUAUAUAAAUAUGUGCACAUAUAUACAUAUUUGUACCCUCACCUAUAUAAAAAAAUAUUGAAAAUAAGUAAAAUCAGCAUCUCAUCACAAAUUAUUUUCAGGUGAGAGGAUAACUUUUCUACAUUAAUGUUUUCUACAUUCUAUUUUCUACUAGUUCUAUGUGAUAAAUAACUUCCAGGUGAAAUCUAUAAAAUUGAUAUACCUAGAUACCACGCUUAGUGCUUUAAAAACGUUUCUAUCCAGGCCUUCUAGCAUUGUGAACACAUAGGUUGUGUGUUGUGUGUGUAUUAACAGGGUAUGUUAUAUAUGUGUGUGUGUUACCAUGAAACAUGUUCAUUUAUCACUAAUAAAAAUAGUUUUUAAGAAAUCCCCCCCCCAAAAUCAUGCUUGGUAAGUCAAUGAAGUGCAAGAAUAAAACCAGAGUCAAACUCAUUUUUAUUAACUGAGAGAUGUGCAUAAAAGCUUGUGUGCUGUGUAGGAAAAAAACAAGUGUAAAAUUUGUUGUAACUUUAAAAUUCAGUGGAACCUCACUGCAUGACUAGUAUCACAUUGUAGACAUUCUGAAUUUUAGGGAGAGAAAUGUUCCAUAGUUGAUACAAGGGAAAUACACUUGAUUCAUAUUAUAAGUGUAUUUUUACAAGAUUUUGUUGCAAAGCUCAAGAUGCUAGUAAUAGCAAUACAUAGGAUAUACUUCAUAUGCUGGUACUUGGAUAUUCACGUUGAUGUUUCAGAUAUGGGUGAAUUUUAAGAUGUGUCUAGAACAGAAUACCCUCAAAGGAUAGAUAAUUUAAAAGAUUAUGGCAACUUUCCUGUUUGUGUGAAUGGUGGGUGGUAUUGAUAGCCACAUGUAACUAAAAUUUAUAGUGUUUGAAUAAUAUUAACAUAUGCAAUUACUCAAUAUGAUGUGAUUUCAUUAAAUCAAACUCCUUAUUGUUUUGCCAAACACAGCUUAAAAUUGCUUUUAAAUAACAAAGAUACACAUUUCAUAUUUUAAUGCAUUGCCAUAUAGUCACACAUCUGAUACAAUUUGCACAGAGAAAGAUUUUAAUGUUUUUCUGUGUUUUAAAAACACUUCAAAUGAUUUUAAUGACAGGGUCAUUAGCUUUUAGCAGUUUAGAGUAAACCAUUCUAUUAUAAUUGAGACUUCUUAGAACUGUCAGACUUUUUCUAUUAGCUUUUAAAAGUUUAAUCAUUUUCUCAAAUUAAUUUCACAAUUAAAUCACUUCUCAAAUUAAUCAAAUCAGUUUCUUCUAAUACAAUCUCAGGAUUGUCAAACUUUUUUAAUCAUAAGAACAAUGUUUCUAGAUACAUAUGUGAAGUUCACAUGUAAAAUCUUUCUUAAUGUAACACUCAUCCUUCCUCAAGAAGAGAAACCUUUUGUUUUCCUUCUUUUCCUUUCAUGGCAGUCAUAAACUGUAGUAAUUAUAUGGUAUACAAUAUGUAUAUUGUACACAGACUAUGUGCAUAUGUACAUUAUACAUAAUGCAUUUUAAUAUAUUAUUUUAUAUUACCAUUUGCUUAAAGAACAUUUCAUAGAAUGGUAGAACUGAUACAAUGACAUUUAUGUUUUUCUUAGGAUAUGCUGACUAAAUCCUUCCGCAGUACAUUACUUGCACAAUUAUGGCUUUGAAGAGAAGUCACAAGUUCUUAUGUUUUGCGUCAUGUUGUGGAAUGUACUUCAAAACAAAGGGAAAAGCACAUGACAUCAUGCUUCAUGGUAUGGCAUAUACGUAUCAAUCAUAUCUACAUAUAACUAUGUGGUGAAUGAUACAAUUAAGACCUAGACUACACAAUCUAUAGUUAUUACAAAAGUUGUAUAUUAUGCCACAGUACUAAAAAUAAAAUAUAUUCUUCUCAAUUAGUGAAAAUAAGAUAUCCUUCAUGUGUUUUAUGUCACAUACGUUUUCUCCUUUGCCCAUGCCUCUUUUUCUUCCCCACUGUAAAUGAAAUCAUGUCCAAUAUUUUAUUAAACAAUAAUGACAGACAAUUCCCGGGCCAUUAAGGCCUAAAAAAGAGGAAAAGACGAUUAUCUCGUCAUUAAUUGCACAAAUGCACUCCUGAUACGUUCAGUACACGGUAAAAAUAUAAAAAUAAGACACAAAUAAAUAUAAAUAUCUUCUCAGUUAUUGGGAAAUCCAAAGUCCAACUGUACCUUAUUAAGAAUACGGUCUUCGAUAUACCUCACUGCUGUAUCUUCAAUAGGUACAGCACCUAACUGGGUAUCAGGGGUAUCCCCCCCCCCGCCAUGUUGUGAGCCAUCAGCUGGGACUAUGCUUGGCCAGGAAUAUACCAAGGGGUUUUUUUUGGGUUCUCCGCAAGGGAGGGAGGGAUUCGAUCAUACCUAGGUGCUGCUCUCCCAGACCGCGCGCAGCAGUCUCCAGUUGCCGCUCGCCCCUACGGCUCCUCGGCCUCCGCCCAUCUUGGGAGACCGUGACCUGUCCAAGCGAGAGGCAGAGCUUUUCAGAGCACUUCUGCAUGCAUUGUUUGGUUUUCUCCUCACUACAUUCCUGUGAGACGGGCUGAAGUUUUCCAGGUGAAGAGAGGUUAAAAAGCACCUGAAUCCCAGAGCAAAUGGGGAAGCAGUGCUGGAACUGGAAUCCAAGGCUACUUCAAAAGUAUUUUUUUCUGUAUUUAUUUUUGAGAGAGAGAGAGAGCAAGCAUGCGCAUGAAUGCACGUGAGCACAAAUGGGGAGAGGGGCAGAGGGAGAAGCAGACUCCCCACUGAGCAAGAAACCGGAUGCGGGACUUG